ACUGGGUCUUGCUAACUUACUAAGUUGCUAAGUUACUAACUUUCGAUCCUCUUUUCUCAGCCUCCCAGGGUGCUAAGAUUACAGAAGUGUCUCACCAUGCCCAGGUUAUAGAUUCAGUUUUAUCAUCGGGAAAAAUGUUUUAGAAUUCCAAAUCACUUCACGUACACUAACCUUUGUUGGAAACCAACGUGAAUAAAGUAGUCUUUGAAAAACCAAGAGGUAGUAAUGGCCGGCCAAGACCAACGAAUGCCCUUGGUAGUUGAAGUCAUAAAGCAAUUUAAAUUCAGUAGCAAAGUCUAAUUAUGGGGCAUGAUGUUUCUAAGUGACGAACCAAACAAAUAAGGCAGACUUUCUAAAACCCUCAGGGUGUGGCCAAGCCCCAGAGCCUGCUGCAAUCCAGGUUCCAGUCGUGACAUUUUCGGCCUGUGGCUUCUCUCUUCUCCGCCUUUUCUGUCGCUUUUCUUCUUCUCGUCCUCACUGAAUCCAUGGAUUCUCCAGCCACACAGACCAGGGACACCCAUGGCUGUCCCCAGGUCGCCCCCCAGCUCCCUCCCAGGCAAACACCCAGGUCUCUGGCUCCAUUUACAGCACUGGCCCCACAGUGCCCUCCAGACCAUCCACACUCCCCUGCUGCAGUGACCUGAGAAGCCCAGCUUCCCACCGUGCGAAUCCUGGGAGAGGCCACCACAUUUUGGAUCCCCAGCC
rnacentral:lncRNA from 1 species